rnacentral:rRNA from 1 species
GACGUAGGAGGCGAGCGUUGUCCGGAUUCAUUGGGCGUAAAGAGCGCGCAGGCGGCUUGGUAAGUCGGAUGUGAAAUCCCGAGGCUCAACCUCGGGUCUGCAUCCGAUACUGCCCGGCUAGAGGUAGGUAGGGGAGAUCGGAAUUCCUGGUGUAGCGGUGAAAUGCGCAGAUAUCAGGAGGAACACCGGUGGCGAAGGCGGAUCUCUGGGCCUUACCUGACGCUCAGGCGCGAAAAGCUAGGGGGAGCGAACUGG